ensembl:lncRNA
CGUAUAUUAGAAGCACAGUAAAAACAUGGCAGCCAACAUAGAGCAAAUAUUUCAAGAUUUUAUUUUGAACAAAAUCAAAGAAAUUGAGGAACAAAAGGAGGAACAAACAGUUCCUGUUGCUGAGAACAGCCACGCAGAGGCAUGCCAAAAGACCAGCUCUCCUGAAAAACGCCCUUGUAGCUCAAGUCCGCACAAAAAACACAAGAAGAAGAGCAAGAAACACAAGAGCAAGAAGAAGAAGAAGAGCAAAGGGAAGGAUAGAGACAGUAGCGAUUCAGAUGACAGUCACAGUAAACAUCGACAGCACAGAUCAAAAGAAGAAAAGGCCAGUAAAGAAGGUUCAGAUCAUGAUCGGACAUCUAGCCGUCAUCGCCACAAGUCCCCAGAUGAAGACAGGAGGAAGAAGAGGAGGAAGAGGAGUAAAGAGAAAGAUGGUUCUGAUUCGGAGAGUGAGGGGGGAGGCAAGAGAGACAAGACCAACGGGCCCAGUCUCCAACCACAGCUGCCAGACAUCAUCCCUAAACAGG